GACGAACGCUGGCGGCGUGCUUAACACAUGCAAGUCGAACGAAGAGCGAUGGAAGCUUGCUUCUAUCAAUCUUAGUGGCGCACGGGUGAGUAACGCGUAAUCAACCUGCCCUUCAGAGGGGGACAACAGUUGGAAACGACUGCUAAUACCGCAUACGAUCUAAACUCGGCAUCGAGGAUAGAUGAAAGGUGGCCUCUACAUGUAAGCUAUCACUGAAGGAGGGGAUUGCGUCUGAUUAGCUAGUUGGAGGGGUAACGGCCCACCAAGGCGAUGAUCAGUAGCCGGUCUGAGAGGAUGAACGGCCACAUUGGGACUGAGACACGGCCCAGACUCCUACGGGAGGCAGCAGUGGGGAAUCUUCCGCAAUGGACGAAAGUCUGACGGAGCAACGCCGCGUGAGUGAUGACGGCCUUCGGGUUGUAAAGCUCUGUUAAUCGGGACGAAAGGCCUUCUUGUGAAUAGUGAGAAGGAUUGACGGUACCGGAAUAGAAAGCCACGGCUAACUACGUG
rnacentral:rRNA from 1 species